AUUUUUUUUCCAUUCAUAGCUGCCUCAACUGUCGCUCUUGCUAGUGAAAAUUUGAUUUCUGGUGAAAUAUAUUACGUUACAAUUAAUUUUUCAAGAGGUAUAUAUAUGAUUUGGAUUGCUGAUUAGUUACAGGAAGAUACUUAAGAACAGAAACAGCUGAAACAGUUGCUACACUAUGGUACAGAUGUAACGCUCCAGUUUCCUUUAAUGAAGAAUGUCAGGAUUGUCCACGUGAAUGUUAAUCAUAAAAAUGCCACGGAAUUACAUAAGAAAAAGAAGCCAACACCAACCAUCUGAAAAAUUCUUGCACUUGGCUGUUGAGGAUGUUCUACGUGGAAAAACUUCAAUAAGAAAAGCUGCUGAGAAAUUCAACCUAAAGCCUUCUACUGUAGGAUUCUACAGUAAAAGAUAAUCUUCAUUUGGGCUACUACCUCCUGCAAAAAUCAAACGUCCUCAGCAUUCUACUCAAAUUGUUCCAGUUCACAUGGAAUCAGAACUAGACGAUUACUUGAAGACUUGUACUCUUAUCAACCACGGAAUGUCACCAGCUGAAACUCGAAUAAUUGCACUAUCAUUUGCAACUGCGAAUGCUGUAACUACGCCACCGGAAUGAAAAAAAACAAAACAUGGGAAAGCAUCUGAAGAAUGGCUUUGUGGCUUCCUUAAACGCAAUAGUUUUUUAUUUAUCAGAAAGCCAGAGCAAACAAGUCAAGCUAGAGCCGCAUGAUUCAAUAAGACGGUUGUGGACACUUACUUCGACAAGCUGGAGAGCUUGUUUAUUAAAUACAAAUUCAAAGCAAACGAAGUAUUUAAUGCUGAUGAAACAAAAAAACCCAACUGUUAUGCAGCCUCCGAAUGUUAUCGCUGCCAAAGGAACAAAACAAAUAAUUAUGAAUUUUAAAAUUCUUUAUUGGUGAACUAAUUAUUAACUUCAAAUUUUCAAAGGUUCAGCAAACAGUUUCCGUAGAUUGUGGUACAAAUGUGACCAUGCUGGCGUUUAUAAAUGCUGCAGGUGGUACUGUAUAGGGUGUCCAAUUACCGCAUUAUUUUUAUAUUGAAACUGGGAUUAUGGUAUAAGUGUUCAAAAAUAUACAA